rnacentral:rRNA from 1 species
CUACCCAUGAGCAGGAUGAAGCGAAAGUAAAAUUUCGUGGAGGUCCGAACCCACGAGCGUUGAAAAGCUCGGGGAUGACUUGUGGGUAGCGGUGAAAUUCCAAUCGAGCCCGGAGAUAGCUGGUUCUCCCCGAAAUAGCUUUAGGGCUAGCCUCAAGGUGAGAGAUACGGAGGUAGAGCACUGAAUGUCCUAGGGGGUAUUGCACCUACCGAAGACUAUCAAACUCCGAAUGCCGUCAUCUUAUACUUGGGAGUCAGACUGUGGGUGAUAAGAUUCAUAGUCGAAAGGGCAACAGCCCAGAUCGUCAGCUAAGGUCCCUAAAUGUAAGUUAAGUGGUAAAGGAUGUGGGAUUGCACAGACAACCAGGAUGUUGGCUUAGAAGCAGCCACUCAUUCAAAGAGUGCGUAAUAGCUCACUGGUCGAGUGAUCCUGCGCCGAAGAUUUCCGGGGCUAAAACUUACUACCGAAGCUACGGCAUCAGUAAUGAGGGGUAGGGGAGCUUCCCAUACGGGUUGAAGCAUGACCGUAAGGACAUGUGGACAGUAUGGGAGUGAGAAUGUUGGCAUGAGUAGCGAGAUGUGGGUGAGAAUCCCACAGGCCGUAAACCCAAGGUUUCCAGGGGAAGGUUCGUCCGCCCUGGGUUAGUCGGGACCUAAGCUGAGGC